CACAAUAAUAGAGUGAAUAAUAACUGGGUGAAUAGUAACUCAUGAAUAGUAACUCAUAAAUAGUAACUCAUGAAUAGUAACUCGUGAAUAGUAACUCCGACACAAAAAGUGUCCCAAAUACUCGAGUGAACAAUACUAGAAUGAAUAGUAAUUUCGGUGAAUAGUAACCCAUAAAUAGUAACUCGUGAAUAGUAACUACGACACAAAAAGUGUCCCAUAUACUCGAGUGAACAAUACUAGAGCGAAUAGUAUUUUGGGUGAAUAGUAACCCAUGAAUAGUAACUCGUGAAUAGUAACUCCGACACAAAAAGUAUCCCAAAUACUCGAGUGAACAAUACUAGAGUGAAUAGUAAUUUGGGUGAAUAGUAACCCAUGAAUAGUAACUUAUGAAUAGUAACUCCGACACAAAAGUGUCCCAAAUACUCUCCAGACAUCAAUUAUUGAUUUAACAAUAUAACAAAUAAUGCAGAUGAUACUGUGAUCAUAAUCGAAUCAAUAAUAUGAGAGAUAUGAUGCAGCAAUUACUGUAGUAAUAAUGCAGUAUAACUGAGUGACUUAUCACAUAAGCAUC
rnacentral:lncRNA from 1 species